GGGGAAUGUUGGACAAUGGGCGCAAGCCUGAUCCAGCCAUGCCGCGUGAGUGAUGAAGGCCCUAGGGUUGUAAAGCUCUUUUAACGGGGAAGAUAAUGACGGUACCCGUAGAAUAAGCCCCGGCUAACUUCGUGCCAGCAGCCGCGGUAAUACGAAGGGGGCUAGCGUUGCUCGGAAUCACUGGGCGUAAAGGGUGCGUAGGUGGAUUUUUAAGUCAGGGGUGAAAUCCUGGAGCUCAACUCCAGAACUGCCUUUGAUACUGGGAAUCUUGAGUUCGGGAGAGGUGAGUGGAACUGCGAGUGUAGAGGUGAAAUUCGUAGAUAUUCGCAAGAACACCAGUGGCGAAGGCGGCUCACUGGCCCGAUACUGACACUGAGGCACGAAAGCGUGGGGAGCAAAC
rnacentral:rRNA from 1 species